AUUAUUAAUCAACAUCGGAAAGAUAAUAAUUGUCGCAAAGAUGGAAGGCCUAACGAUCGUUUUAGUGGCUGCGAAUGAUCGAGUCGAUGAGACGAUACGCCUGUUUCUCGGGUCAAUCGUGUACUUGAAAAUCGGAACAGAAUUUCAGAUCGCAAUCUUCACAGGUUAUAAUAACGGUGCUAUCUGGACAUCAUCCCGUUCCAAUGAUCCGCAUUCCGGGCAAUGUCGUGUUCGGAAGAUUGCUUACUCCGCUGUUUAAUACGUACGUUCGAGGUCUGUCGAUCGGUUCUCAAAGUGGAAUCGCCGCCAUUCUCGCGAUGGAUUCCCUGGAUGCCAGUAGUCGGCCGAUCGGUCGGCCCUCCGGUGAUUUGGAGAAAAGAGGCGGAGAAGAGGGUGGAGGGUGGAGAGGCCUUUUUUUCCCGCGGAGCUGAGGAUGAAGAUUGUUGGUUUUGCUAUACCGGUACCGCAGUGGUGAAUGCCCCACGGCGGCAAAAGGCGGUUGCUGCUUUCUGAGAACGGGUCGGAGUUGGCCGCACCGGGAGCGGUGAUUGCGUGGUGAUUAGCCUCCACCUUCGCCUCUCUUUGGACCGACUCGAACGAGGGAGAAAGGAGUAAAAGAGAAAGACAAGCAAACAGAGAGUCCACGUACUGUCCAGCCGGAAAGAGAGGCAGGCAGAUCGUGUUGAAAGAAGGAACGCAAUAUCAUUGCCAGGCACGAAUGUGGGAGCGAGUUGCUCGAUACAAAGCGUUCGAGAGUAUUUCGCGUACGAGUCUGUAAAGUAACGCGACGGGACCUGGAAGAUAAGUAUGUGCUCCGUCACACGUACGCGUCACCGGGAAUCGCGUGUGCGAGGCGAACGCGUCGCAGCAGACAUUAAUAAAUUUUCAGAGAUACGAUACGUGUAACGUCAGAUCGAAUGGACAAUCGAAUUAUUGGCAAGCGCGUAUAUGCCGAAGCAUGUCAAUACAUUUCGUUAGUGCGGUGUCAUUCAAAAUGGGUGGAAGCUAGCUCUUUGGCGUCUGGAUGUUUCGCAGCAGGCAAGCCGGCCGGUAGACAGGUACCUACCUGGAAACGAGUAACUACUUAUUGUCACCUCUAACGAGGCCGCAACAAAAACUCAGCUAUUCGCAGGUGGGAAUGCUGCCAGCUUAUGAAAGUAUCAAUUACCUUCUACGUCCAGUUUCCUAAUGAGGGGAACAGAGCCAUGGAUUACCGAGUCGCCAUAACUGUGACUCCUAGAUCCGUUGCGAUUUUUUCAUAGAUCAACAUGGACAGCGUUCGCCAAUCAGCUGUUUACAUUCACAGAGUCUAUAUUUCUUCUCAACCAAUCGUGGCGAGCCUGUUACACAAGAUUGUUAUUACGUAUUAUAUUCGCCUUUAAAUGAAAUCGAACUGUAUGUACUUUCAUGUUAUAUAUGUCGGCAACAUGUGUACGUAAUAAAAUAAGUAGACAUUUCAGAAUUAUAGUUAUGCAUGAGAUUUAUACGUAGACAAAAAGGCGUGGUUUUCGUUUCGUGUAUUUUCGAUUAUAAAAAGUCAUAUAAUUUCUGAAAGUCUUAUACUUGAAAGUCUAUCGUUUAAACGAUUCGUCUAUUGUUAGUGUCUGCUGUUACUUCGUAUUUUUGUUAUAACCUUUUAACAAAGCGCAUAAGUUUAUGUUCAUAUGACAUUUUUUGUUAUUUUUAUUCAAAGAGCGUGCUGAUACUACUUUACGGAAGAAACCCAGUACAUCCUGUAGGUCUAAUAUUAUAUCGUAUGUCAUGGCAUUGCCAGGAAGAAUAGGACAAAUCAAUUCAAUAACAUAAAUAGCGUUUUUACUGAACAAAUAAAAUAUGGAAUUAAAUCUGCACUUUAUCGUAUUUACGACUUUAUUUUCUAAUUAUUGUCAUUAAAUAAAAUAUACUAUUAAACAAUACAACAUUUUAAAAAUUAGAUUUCGACACUAUAGACGCGUUCAAUGGAGAAAAAAUAUUUCAACUUUUAAUAAAUAUUAAAACUAAAAGUAUAGAAUGUUUUAAACUAACAUUUACUAUCUAUUAAUAGUAACGUAUGUAGC